rnacentral:misc_RNA from 1 species
GGCGACGCGCCGCUUCGCGGAUGGCCGGCUUCUCGCCGGCGAGGAGUUUGGCAAAGUCCCCGGCGGGCACCGGGCGGCUGAAGAGGUACCCCUGCAUCUCGUCGCAUCCCUGCCUGCGAAGCAGGAUCCGUUGUUCCUCCGUCUCCACGCCUUCGGCCACGACCCGAAGUCCCAAUGCGUGUCCCAUUGCCGUGAUCGCGGUGGUAAUCGCCGCGUCGUCGGUGUGACUGGUGAUCUCACGCACGAAGGAUCGGUCGAUCUUGAGCGUGUCGAGGGGAAAGUGCUUGAGAUAGCUGAACGACGAAUAGCCGGUCCCGAAAUCGUCCACGGCGAGGUGCAGCCCCAUGGCGCGGAGGGUGUG